AUGGGUAGAAUCAAUGUUAAUCCUAUUUGGGCUAAGAUCUGGAAGCUAUCCUGUCCGACAAAGGUAAAAAAUUUCAUCUGGCGUACAUUGCAUGGAACCCUCCCAUGCCGUGUUACGCUCACUAAUAGACAUAUGAAAGUUUUGCCCAUCGGCCCAUCAUGCUCAAAUGGUCCGGAAGAUACAAAACAUGUCUUGUUUCAAUGUCAAAAGGCGAAAGAGGUUUGGGACAAGUUAGGAUUGUAUGAGGUGAUCAAUAGAGCUUGUGUUGUCGAUCGGGCAGGUGAAUCAGUUUAUGAAUUUUUACUACUUAUGGCAGACCAAGAAUUGUCCAAUUUGGGCCUCAACAACGCACGCGAAUUGAUCGCUAUAACAACUUGUUAUCUAUGAUGGGAGAGACGAAAACUGGUUCAUGAAGGAAAAUCUCCAGAUGCAUAUCAAACUUCAAUGGGGGCUCGUGCUAUAACGGUGAACUAUGUUAACACAUACUCCCCUAAGGCAACCAGUAAAAUAGGGGGAUGGAGCAGACCUCUAUGGGCUUUGUGA
rnacentral:rRNA from 1 species